rnacentral:rRNA from 1 species
AUUGAACGCUGGCGGCAGGCCUAACACAUGCAAGUCGAGCGGAUGAAGGGAGCUUGCUCCUGGAUUCAGCGGCGGACGGGUGAGUAAUGCCUAGGAAUCUGCCUGGUAGUGGGGGAUAACGUCCGGAAACGGGCGCUAAUACCGCAUACGUCCUGAGGGAGAAAGUGGGGGAUCUUCGGACCUCACGCUAUCAGAUGAGCCUAGGUCGGAUUAGCUAGUUGGUGGGGUAAAGGCCUACCAAGGCGACGAUCCGUAACUGGUCUGAGAGGAUGAGCAGUCACCCUGGAACUGAGCCACGGUCCAGACUCCUACGGGAGGCAGCAGUGGGGAAUAUUGGACAAUGGGCGAAAGCCUGAUCCAGCCAUGCCGCGUGUGUGAAGAAGGUCUUCGGAUUGUAAAGCACUUUAAGUUGGGAGGAAGGGCAGUAAGUUAAUACCUUGCUGUUUUGACGUUACCAACAGAAUAAGCACCGGCUAACUUCGUG